rnacentral:rRNA from 1 species
GACGAACGCUGGCGGCGUGCCUAAUACAUGCAAGUCGAGCGGAAUGAUGAAGAAGCUUGCUUCUUCUGAUUUUAGCGGCGGACGGGUGAGUAACACGUGGACAACCUACCUUGUAGAUUGGGAUAACUCCGGGAAACCGGGGCUAAUACCGAAUAAUCCAUUUUGCUUCAUGGCGAGAUGUUGAAAGACGGUUUCGGCUGUCACUAUAAGAUGGGCCCGCGGCGCAUUAGCUAGUUGGUAGGGUAAUGGCCUACCAAGGCGACGAUGCGUAGCCGACCUGAAAGGGUGAUCGGCCACACUGGGACUGAGACACGGCCCAGACUCCUACGGGAGGCAGCAGUAGGGAAUCUUCCACAAUGGACGAAAGUCUGAUGGAGCAACGCCGCGUGAGUGAAGAAGGUUUUCGGAUCGUAAAACUCUGUUGUAAGGGAAGAACACGUACGAGAGUAACUGCUCGUACCUUGACGGUACCUUAUUAGAAAGCCACGGCUAACUACGUG